ensembl:lncRNA
UGAAUUUUAUUACAUUUAUAGUUGUACAACAAUCAUCACAACCUAAUUUUAUAGCAUUUCCAUCCCAGACCCCCAGUGUGCCCCCCACCCCCAACCUGUCUCCUUUGGAAAGCAUCAGUCUUUCAGAGUCUGCAUCAGUGUCUGUUCUGCAAAGAAGUUCAGUGUGUCCUGUUUUAGAUCCCACAUGGAAGUGAAAGCAUUCGAUGUUGGUGACUGACCUCGCUUAGCACAAUAAUUUCUAGGUCCAUCCGUGUUGCUGCAAAUGCCGUUCUUUCUUUCCUUUCAACGGCUGAGUCGCAGUCCAUUGUGUGUAUGGACCACAUCUUAACCCACUGGUCUGCGUAGAUGUUCAGCUUGUUUCCAUGUUUGGCUGCAGUGAGCACAGGGGUACGUGUAUCUUUUCUGUUGAAUGAAAGGUUCUUCUGCAUAUGUGCCCAGGAGUGGGAUUGCUGGAUCGUAUGGUAGUUGUGUAGUUUUCUGCGGAAUCUCCAUGCUGUUUCAUAGUGGUUGGACCAUAGGAGGACACCCUUUCUCCACCCCGCCUCCAGCAUUUGGUAUUUAUAGACUUACUAAUGACGGCCAUUCUGACCAGUGUAAAGUGUUACCUCAUUGUAGUUUUGAUUUGUGUUUCUGUAAUAAUUAGUGAUGUUGAGCAUUUUUUCUUGGGCCUGUUGGCCAGCUAAUAUGUCUUCCUUGGAGAAAUGUCUUUUUAGGUCUUCUGCCCAUUUUUCAUUUGGGUUAUUUAUUCAUUUAUCUUUUGGUGUCAAGUUGUAUGAGUUAUUUGUAUAUUCUGGAGAUCAAGCCCUUCUCGGUUGCAUCAUUUGAAACUAUUUUCUCCUAUUCCGUAGAUUGUCUUUUCAUUUCAUUAACUGGAGUUCUUUUGUAAAAAAGAGCAGUUCUUUGUCCACCAUUUAUUCAGUUAUUUAUAUCAGUGUGGAUUUGUGGGUGUUUGAUUCUAUGAGUCAUAACCAGGUAACUGUUACUCUGUUGCUCAGACUGUUAAGGUUCCUCCUGUCUGUCCCCUUUUGACCUGCUGUGUCCUUUUUUAAGCAUUUCGGGACUCUGGCACCGCCAGAGGCUCCAAGCUCCUUUCACGGAGACUGGUAUGUAGCCACCAAGAUCUCGCCCGUGGGUGUGCUCAUUGCUCCAGGGCUGUUACUGCUUCGGGGCCCUUCCCAGACAGAGCUGGAAAGUACAUAUACUAAGUCAUGCACAUAAACCUGUGUUCACUUCUGUAAUGAGCUAGCUGUAUACAUUUAAAAAGCUGUGAGCUCAGCAGCUCAGCGGUUUAGCAAACCCAACUAGCAUCCCUGAGGAUGCAGGUUCAAUCCCUGUCCUGGCUCAGUGGGUUGAGGAUCCGGCGUUGCCAUGAGCUGUGGUGUAGGUCACAGCUGCGGCUCGGAUCAGGCGUUGCUGUGGCAUAAGCUGGCAGCUGUAGUUCCUGUUUGACCCCUAGCCUGGGAACCUUCAUGUGCUGUGGGUGCGGCCCUAAAAAGCCAAACAAUAAUAACAAAAAUGGACAAAAAACUUGAAUAGAUGUUCUACCAUAAGAGACUCUUCAUCAGGGAAAUGAAAUCAGCAUUGAGGCAGCAUGUCACACCCACUCGGACAGCUUCGGUCAAAAAGACAAUGCCAAGUGUUGGCAAGGGUGUGCCCAGUUAGAACCUUCUCUGGAUUGCAAGAUGGUCCAUCCGCCUGCAAAGUGGGGAAUUCCACUCCUCUCGGGAGUGAACCCAGGACAAAGGAACAUGCCUUCAGGCCAGCAAAGUGCAGAUGUUCUGACAGCAAAAAGGAACCCAAAGUCCAUCAACCAGCAAGUGAAUACAGCAAAAUGGGCCAUUGUACUUACACAAAAACCAGGACGCUCUAGAUGGAACCCAGACCGUCAGGUGAGCUCGCAGAUGCAAGAUCCUCUAGGUGGUGUGAGUCCACGGACGCAAAACGAACGUCCAGGAAGGAGGAUGUACAGAUGCGGAAAGCGGGACGGGGUUGCCAGGGUCUGGGGUACGGCGGGGAGGCUGGAGUGGGCACCGACCACAGGCAUCUCAAGGGGACGUUAUUGGAGUGAUCAUUAGGCACGUCCACAGAUUGGCGAGGAAAUCGUUGAAUUGUACACUUUCAGUGGGUGGAUUGUGUAAAGGAUCCCUUAGUGACGCUGUAAGAGAACCGGUUGCCUUUCUGUGUCAUUAAAUACUUUUACUUGAAUAAUGUGAAAAGUUUUCAUUCAUCACAGGGGUUUUUUACUUUGGGGGGUGGUUAGGGCUGCACUCACAGCAAACAUAUGGAUGUUCCCAGGCUAGGGGUCGAAUCGGAGCUGCAGCUGCCAGCUUACACCACAGCCACAGGGUAUCAGAGCUCCAUCUGGGACCUAGGCCACAGCCUGGAGCCAGGCCAGGCCUGUGUCAGGUUCUUAACCCAGAGCCACAACGGGAGCUCCUAGAUGAGAAGUUUGAUGGACAAUGUGCCACUGGAAGAGAAGGAACAACUGGUAGACGCCCUCCCUGAGAGUAACUGUGACUCCUUAGAGACCUCUGAGCCGAGCGCCUCAAAGCCUUUGCUACGGGACCUGACUGCGCUGCUGGGAGCUGCUCCCGCUGUUCCAGACGGCGUGAGUCCCUGUCACAGAGAAGGCAGCUUCCUGCUCACGCUUGUCUGGAGACCUGUGGCCAGAGUGGAGCGGUUCGUAACCUCCUUCCCUGCUGUGGAAUUGUGUGUUGGCUACACCUUCACCUGUCUCCACCCCUGAGACUCUCACCCGCUCUCACGCUUGGGCUCUGUGGCAAACUCUGCCCUUGAACCUGGCCUGGCUGAACUUGGGCUUGGGAGCAAGGAGCCUCAGAAGGCCUCUUGGAGCACUUGCUCGCGGAGUGCCGCUGCCAAAAUGCCACGAGAGAGGGUGUGGAAGGCCCUCGGGCUGACAGCCUCUGGGUUUGCUUCACACUUGCUGCAUGUGGAGAAAGGAGGGCACAGAUCAAACAAGACGGGCCACAAGCUGGUACCUGCAGAAGUGGGUGGCAGGUCCACUGGGCUUCUUAACCCCAUUCUUACUACCUCGCGUGGGGGCUGCCCCCUUGUUCUGGUGCCCCUGUGGGCGCCCAUCACAUUGUGAGGUGAGGGACACUAAGGCUUGAGGGACACUAAGGCUGUGUCUUGAGCUUACUCUUGUUCUGAGGCCUCACUCGGGAGGGAGGCCGAAGGAAGCAGGGAACUGAAUCCUCCUCCCCAAAGGGAGGACCCGAGCCUCCUGCCCACAGCGCAGGCAUGAGCUUGAAUUCCUGCAGAUGUCCAAAGACCAAGUCCCUGGUUCCCAGCUUGACCACAGCCUCAUACAAAACCCAAAGCCACAACUACCCUGCAGAGGGGCUCCCUGAUCCUUGGACACUAUGCAAAAUAAUAAAAUUGGUCGUUUCAAGUGGCUAAAUUUCAUGGCCUGCUUUUACACAGCAACAGACGAUGUAUGUAAGAGCCUGGUAUUUUUUUAAAAAGCACUUGGGGGAGUUCCCGGUGUGGGACCCAGCGAAAACAAAUCCGACUAGGAACCAUGAGGUUUUGGGUUCGAUCCCUGGUCUCACUCAGGGGGAUCCGGAGUUGCCCUGACCUGUGGUGUAGGUUGCAGACUAGGCUUGGAUCCCGUGUGGCUGUGGCUGUGGUGUAGGCCAGCAGCUGUAGCUCUGAUGUGACCCGCAGCCUGGGAACCUCCAUAUGCCACGGCUGCGGCCCUAAAAAAAGCGAGAAAAAAAAAAAAAAAAAAA